GUGUCAGCAGCCGCGGUAAUACGAAGGGUGCAAGCGUUACUCGGAAUUACUGGGCGUAAAGCGUGCGUAGGUGGUUCGUUAAGUCUGCCGUGAAAGCCCCGGGCUCAACCUGGGAAUGGCGGUGGAUACUGGCGGACUAGAGUGCGGUAGAGGGUGGUGGAAUUCCCGGUGUAGCAGUGAAAUGCGUAGAGAUCGGGAGGAACAUCUGUGGCGAAGGCGGCCACCUGGACCAGCACUGACACUGAGGCACGAAAGCGUGGGGAGCAAACAGGAUUAGAUACCCUAGUAGUCC
rnacentral:rRNA from 1 species